UGCUAUUUAUAUUGAACUAUUGAAGGUGUAUUUAAUUUCUACUAAGACUAAGAUUUUCAGCAAACUCAUACCCCUAUCAGAUCAAUCUUUAAAAGCUGUUCUUGAAUUUAGGAAGAGGGAAGAGUAAAAAAAAUAGAAAUUAACAGAAGGAUUUUCAAAUUUUGAACUUAAAACCUUAUGAUAGAGAAUGGUAUAUAUUGAUGCAGCUCAUAGUAAGAAGUGAUUAAUGAUGAGUAUGAGUAAAAUUAUACAAAAAUAAGUGUUAUUUAAGUGAGUUAGAAGUAUACCAAUACAUUAAUGCCAGAGGGUGUUUAACAACAAGCUAGAGCAUAAGAAAAUUACACAGCAACUAUUUAGAUUAUCUUUCAACAAAUGAAAUGUUCAAUAAUCUUUUCACUUGUUGAUUGGGAUUAAAAAAAUAAUAAUAAAAAAAUAAUAAUAAAUAAAUAUAUAUAUAUAUAUAUGGAACAACAAAGAAAUUUCAAGGCAAAUGGAAUUUAUUUGAAAAAAUAUACCUAUAAUCGCCAUUUUAUACCUAAAUAAGCAGUUGGGUCCUAGUAAAUAGAACAUAUUCGUACAAAUUAUAAAAGAACAAUAGGAAGCUAACAAAAUCUGAGGACCCCAAACUCUCAACGUCACUUUCCCAAGGAAGCAAAACCCCAACACUACAUUUUUACUUCUUCUUUUCAAGAUAAAAACUUCUUCAUUUUAAUAUACCCUUUAGAAAUCACGAGGGGCUUCCCACGAAACACAUAUCUAUCUUGAGUCCUUUUCAUUUGUCAUGUGCCAGUACACAGUCCUUUUCAUUUGUCAUGUGCCAGUACACAAACAAGAUCUUCUAAUUUGUGCAUUGUAACUUUCAAAAUUUUCUAAAUUAGUGAAUGAAUAAGAUAAGGAUAAUCAUUUUUUUAUCAAACACACAGGUGAAGUAUUUAUAUACUGAAACGAAAAUAUUAAAGACUAUCUUAGGAAAGGACAUGUUGUCAACAUCCAAUCAAUGAAAGCAUAAAAAGAUAAACUUGACGAGACGAGCCGAGCCGAGCCAAGACACUAUGAGCUUAUAAAACAUUGAGAGACGAAGAAAUUGAUGAUCAAUUUCAAGAGGGAAGGAUGCAAACGUGCCACAUGCAUGGCACCAACAUAAAGCUAUUGGAACAAAAUUUCUUCCAGGCUGAAAGAAAAAUAAAAUAAAGUGAUCUCCAAACAUGACCUUCGACUCAUUCAAAUAAAUUUUACUCUUAUGGUUUUUUUCCUUCCAUUUAUAGCUAGAAACUGUGUCAUAUGACUGAAAGCCUUUUCAAUAACUUGGGGAAAUCUUGUUAAGCAUAUUACCUGAAACCCUUCCCUUACAGUUGAUCUCCCAUUCAAUUGAUUGUUUCUUUCAAUUAGAAACAAAAAUAUUAGUUAUCUUCAUUUUCUAUUAUGAUAUUUAAAAUGAUCCAAAUUCAAAUCAUAUAGGAUCAGAUAAUUUAUAGCUGUGUUAUAUUGAGAAAUAAUAUAGUUAUAGGGACAUGAGUAACAACCUAAUAUAGUUAAAAUAUCAAACAACUAUACCCUUUGAAGGAAAAAAUAUAUUUAGUACAUACCAAGAACAAGGAGAAAAAAUAAAAAUAUUUCUUGUAGCUUAUCCGGUUAUGCUAGAGUAUUAUAGAUAUUGAUGAUCAUGGUUCUUGUUUGCAGGGGGAGAAUCUUGAUUCUUGAGGUUCCUGUACAUUAGGUCCACAGUUGAAAAAAUAAAAUAAAUAAAAAAAAGAGAAAUAUGUUGCAUUACACUUAUAAUGUGACUACACAGUGCUGCCUGAUGUAAACUCCUCUCACUUCACUAACAGAGAGCAAAUAUCUUGCAUAUCUAUUUAUUGUUUUGGGUUGUCUUGGUAGAAAUUAUGAACUUAAUUAAUCUGAUGGCUGAAGGAAAUUACAUUCUAUUAACUACAGAACUGAAGCUGAUCAUAAAUUAUAUCCCCAAAAAGAGGGGAAAAAAUGAAUUGUUAUACCUAUGAUGCUGCACAGAUCAGUCAGAACGGCUGAACAUGAUACAUACGCCAGAUUCAGAUUGAUAAGUCCAUAUAUAAGAAAGAUUUAAAUAAUUACCUCAAGUAUAAUCAGUUAAUUACAGUCCUCUGCACAAAUACUUUUACAGAAAAUGCUCAAAAUGGUGAGAUAAUUACCUGCUGUGUGUUUCCCAUGGCUUUUAGUGCUAACUAAUUCUUAUCAUCAAGUAGAUAGAGAUAAAAACUAGUUAAAACCAAGCAGAAUUCAUGAGAUAUAUUAAAACAACAGCUUAUAUGAAGUAUUCACUCAAUCUUGGUUAUUGCCUUUCCUCAUUUUCUUCUUGUUCCUCAAAAUGGUGAGAUAAUUACCUGUUGUGUGUUUCCCAUGGCUUUUAGUGCUAACUAAUUCUUAUCAUCAAGUAGAUAGAGAUAAAAACUAGUUAAAACCAAGCAGAAUUCAUGAGAAUAUUAAAACAACAGCUUAUAUGAAGUAUUCACUCAAUCUUGGUAUGCCUUUCCUCAUUUUCUUCUUGCUCCUCAAAAUGGUGAGAUAAUUACCUGCUGUGUGUUUCCCAUGGAUUUUAGUGCUAACUAAUUCUUAUCAUCAAGUAGAUAGAGAUAAAAACUAGUUAAAACCAAGCAGAAUUCAUGAGAUAUAUUAAAACAACAGCUUAUAAGAAGUAUCCACUCAAUCUUGGUUAUUGCCUUUCCUCAUUUUCUUCUUCCCCC
rnacentral:lncRNA from 1 species